rnacentral:lncRNA from 1 species
CUUCCGUCAUAAUUUCAUGUGUAGGUGACUGAGGAAGUCGUGACAGGAUCAACAGAACUUUAUCGUAAAUAUCGUGGAAAAUUUCCAGAAAAGAUCGUUCAAGAGUGACCUAACCAUAAGAAUAUAAAUAGGACUUACUCUUGCCAUGUAUUCGACUACAUCUCGCAUAUUUCGUGGAUAUCCCGUGACGAGAACGGCAUCAACGUUUAUGAUUUCCGAUGAAAUUCGAUUGAUAAAAACUUCAAGAGCUUUGGAGGGCGGAAUCAUGUCUGUAUCUUGGCUGCCUAAAAUAGACGUCAUCAAAACCUACAGUGCCGAAGUCUUCAGCUUAAUUUUUAUAACGGAUUUACCAAUAGUAGAAACGACUUCAAGAAAUAUCGGCAUCAUAUCAACAUGGUGUAAUCUUCCGCUGAUUUCCGUAAGAUGUUUUAAAUUGGUUAUAAUUUCUGAUCUUUGCAUUUCUUUGUGAAUAAGGAUUUUUUCGUAUUUAAAAAAAAAAAAAAGUCAUGUAAUAGAUUUAGAAAAAAGCAAUUUUAAUCAGUGAACAGUUUUACCUGCGUCCAAAACGAAAAUUAUAUUAAUUUUCGGAAUGUUGUAAAUAUCCGAUUCCUGAUUCAAAUUUGAUUUGAUGAAUUAAUUUUAUUGCCAUUGCCUAAUAAGCCAAGAUUUUAAAUGUACCUUGAU